UUGAUCAGAUGCAACAGAAUAAGUUCUAGGACAUAUAUAUAGAAUUUAUUUUCAUAAGACAUUGUAUAUCAAAAUAUUACAAAAAGGUCAUGGAUGUCCAGUAAUGCAUUACCCUCGCCCCACCCCAGGGUAUUCUUUUAGACAUUUACCCAUGAUUCAUCUACACUGUCAUCUCACCUCACUAUUAAUCGAUUGAUUGUUGUUUAACUUCCCUCUCAAGAAUUUUUCACUUGUAUGGAGACGCACCCACUUGAUGGUGGAGAGAUGUAAAUUUUGUCGUAUACUCGGAGCCUUUGUCAAUUUAAGCAGUGAGGGAUAUUUUUCAUGCAAGUACCUGUGACAUAGUUUAAACGGUCUCAUAUGAAGUAUCCACAUCUCCAUGUUCCACAGUGUGCAACGUAAUCACCUCAGUAUUAAAAUGGGAUGAAACCCUUGUAUACAGUUUAAAUGAAUAAUAAUAUUAUAUAUACAUGUAUUGAAUUUUUUUUUUAUAAAAUGACUAAUAAACUUGUCAACAUUGGCCAUCAUUAAAUAUGUGUUUGUAUCCAGACUAUCCAGAUUAGUUGGUAGGUUUUUUUUUUGCCUUACAGUAUUGAAAAAUAUUGAUAACUGUCAUAUUAAAAAUCACAGACUCAGAAAUCUGUUGAAGUUUUAAAAAAAAAAUUGAAGUGCUGAAAAAAUGAUUACUAAUGGUAGGGCAGAUUUUAAUGGGUAAGGCUGAGUACAUCAAACAAAUCAUUUUGUUAUUGUUGGCCUUAGUAGGGGCACUCUAGAUAUGAAAAUACAGUGUGUAAAACAAAUAUUUUUAAAUCAAAUUUUUUUUUAUGAAAAGGCCUUAGACAUUUUUUGGUAUAAAAAGGACAAUUUUAGUCUGUUUUUCUUGUAAAAAUAUUGAUAAAAUUUAAUGAAGAAGGUUAAGAUUUGUAUUAAAUAUCCAGUAAAUGGAUAUUUACCAGAUUUAUAACUCAUUACACCUAAAUUAUCAGUAAUGCAUACUGGAACAACUGUGCAAUAAUUCGAAUGACAUUUUACAGAAGUUUGCUAAAUUACAGGUUUUUGUCAGCUUAUCUGGAAAUCUUAGGACAUCACUGAUUUGAUCAAGAACUCAUCCAGCGUGAAGACCAGCCAUGUGCCUCACUUGUCGUGACAUAAUUAAAGCGCUUUGUGACAGUGGGAAGAUGGGAUUUAAAACAUGACAUGGCUCUAUAUUACUGCAUCAGAGACCAAUCCAGGUUUACGUAUAAAGUGAAGGAAAACAGUCAAGCAUCAUUUGGAGCCACGUGUACAUAUGUAACCGCCUAGACGCCUUUACAAUAUGACCUCUUAUUUAAGAAAUCACAGUGACCAGUUGUACCUAUGAUGUCGGACGAGAUCCUGAUAAAAACUUCUGUUGCACUCAUCACUACCUGCAAAGAAAUGAAAAUUUUAAAUGACUUGUAUCAACACUUUUGUACUACAUCUGGCUUGUAUUUUCAGAUCUUGUUAGCCUUUAUUUUCCUUCAAACAAAAUUUUAUAAGUACUAACCUGCAGGUGUAAAAUGUUUGAAACAAUUUGCUUGUCUCAGAAGAAAAUUCUCUGCCAUUUAGCAGUGUCAUGAGCAGUUGAUUGAGGUCACAAUUCCACCGGCAAAGAGUACACUGGGUAUUUGUAGCUGAAUGGUGCCAAAUAAAACACUUUUCACAAGAACCUGGCAAAUGUAUUAAAGUGGAAGUGAGCAUCUACACAAAAAAUGAAUACUUUCUCAAAUAUUAACAGUGAUAUAUUAUGCCUGUGUACAUCCUAAAUAUAUAUAUAUAACUAAUUACACAAGUAACUAGGAAAUAUACAAUGUCAACUUCCUUAAUUUUUUUCUCAAGUUCAUGUAUAGUGUAUCAAAAUAAACAUGCAAUAUU